rnacentral:misc_RNA from 1 species
GGCUGUUGCUCGCCCUCGCCCUCGCCCUCGCCCUCAAGGCUUCACGCACAAGUUGCGCCCCCGUCCGUAUAUAUGCUGCCCCCACUACGGCACACCGGUAUCCAGGCCACCACCAAGAACCAACGCCUAGUGCUAGUGGCCUGCAAGCAACUCUGAUCCAUUCCACUGCAACAGCUAGCAUAGCGCAGCGAUCCAUUCCACUACAAGCAAGCAGCAAGGAGCAAGGCAGCGGCCCGGUAGACGUCGAGGGCGGCCAACACCAGCCACCGUCGUCCGCCGCGGCAGGGCACCCAAGAAUGUGCUUCCCGAUCGACUGCUGGCUCUGCAUGCCCCACACCGACGACGACGACCUUGCCCCCGCGAGCAGGGCACAGCCGCCGCCGCCGCCGCCCGCGCAGCGCAACGGCAGCCACUACAACGGCGACGGCCACUACCGGCCUGCGCACUACAGCGCGGCUGCCGAGGCGGACCGCAAGGCGUCCAACGACGCGAGGAGAGGCCCCGCGCAUCAUGGCGCCACCGGCGCGCAGGCGAAAUCGGCGUACCCGUACGCAGCCGAAGCCGCCGACGGCGACGGGGCGCUGAAGCAGCAGCCCGAGGCGCCGAACGGCAGGGUCGCUGCCGCCGAUGGCCAUGGAGCACGCGCCGCGCCGCGCCACGACUACGAACGCGCACAGCCGCCUGCCCGCAAGGAGGACGCCGCGGAUUCCUACUACCCGGCUGCGACCGCUGCAGCCUAUCGCGAAAGGUAUUAGUGCCGUCCAUCGGUCCGUGCUGGAGCGCGCAACGCGUGCGCUGCGCAUGGAGUUGGGCAAACAGUUAGCCACCGUAAACAAGCAGAGAGAGUGGCUGUUUGUGUUUUUAGCUUCGGUACGCUUGUUUUCAUCAGUCCUUCAGGGGCACUUGGAGUGGAGGGCAGUAGGAGUUGAGGAUGCAGAGUGGGUGUGGAUCAUCAGGGCCUCCUCCGUAUUGCUGGCUGCCCUGUCCAUUGAACGGGUGAACAAGGUCGGGCUCGGGGGGAGACUUCAGUUAACUGGAUGUCUCUCGCUUUUUUGAUCUGCUUUGUGUAGUUGUCUUGUCUGGCGUAAAAGAUGCCUUGGUCUCCCUUUCUUCAUGUACUGUCAAUCUGUCGCGUAAAGAAUUAUAAGUGGGGCUUGUGUUUAUUAGUUCUCGAAGCUACUUCAAAGAUCUUUAAAAAAAGAAACGGCUACAUGAAAGCACCGUGAAUUGCAG